AGCAGCCGCGGUAAUUCCAGCUCCAAUAGCGUAUAUUAAAGUUGUUGCAGUUAAAAAGCUCGUAGUUGAAUUUCGGGAUCAGUACGUUGGUCGUGCCUUAGGUACGUACUGGUGUUACUGGUUCCUACCUUCUGACGAACCAUCAUGUCAUUAAUUUGGUGUGGCGGGGAAUCAGGACUGUUACUUUGAAAAAAUUGAGUGUUUAAAGCAGGCUCGCGCUUGAAUACAUUAGCAUGGAAUAGUGAAACGGGACGUUGAUCCUAUUUUGUUGGUUUCUAGGAUUGACGUAAUGAUUAAUAGGGAUAGUUGGGGGCAUUAGUAUUCAAUUGUCAGAGGUGAAAUUCUUGGAUUUAUUGAAGACUAACUACUGCGAAAGCAUUUGCCAAGGAUGUUUUCAUUA
rnacentral:rRNA from 1 species